rnacentral:rRNA from 1 species
GGAUAAUCUACCCUGUGGAGGGGGAUAACCCCGGGGAACUGGGGAUAAUACCCCAUAGACUAUGGAAGCUGGAAUGCUCUGUAGCCGAAAGGUCCGCCGCCACAGGAUGAGUCUGCGGCCGAUUAGGUUGUUGUUGGGGUAACGGCCCAACAAGCCUGUAAUCGGUACGGGUUGUGGGAGCAAGAGCCCGGAGAUGGAUUCUGAGACACGAAUCCAGGCCCUACGGGGCGCAGCAGGCGCGAAAACUUUGCAAUGCGGGAAACCGUGACAAGGGAACUCCGAGUGCCCGUAAAUUCGGGCUGUCCGCCAGUGUAAAAAACUGGUGAAGAAAGGGCCGGGCAAGACCGGUGCCAGCCGCCGCGGUAAUACCGGCGGCUCGAGUGGUGGCCACUAUUACUGGGCUUAAAACGUUCGUAGCUGGUCUGUUAAGUCUCUGGGGAAAUCUUCCGGCUUAACCGGAAGGCGUCUCAGGGAUACUGGCAGACUAGGGACCGGUAGAGGUGAGGGGUACUCCAGGGGUAGGAGUGAAAUCCUGUAAUCCUUGGGGGACCACCUGUGGCGAAGGCGCCUCACCAGAACGGCUCCGACAGUGAGGAACGAAAGCUGGGGGAGCAAACCGGAUUAGAUACCCGGGUAGUCCCAGCUGUAAACGAUGCGCGUUAGGUGUAUCGGUGACCACGAGUCACCGAGGUGCCGAAGAGAAAUCGUGAAACGUGCCGCCUGGGAAGUACGGUCGCAAGGCUGAAACU